rnacentral:lncRNA from 1 species
AAAUCAAGAAUCUACUAUUGAUUAAGCUAUAGAGCCCAAAGAGUGUUCGAGUGUUCAAUGAAAUGUCUAUAAACAUAAUGGAAGGGAAGACAAAAAAUUCUCAUCUCUCUGUAUCUACUAUGAAGUGUUCUCUGAUACACAUUAUUGUUAAGUAAAAGAAACAAAGUAUAGAUUACCAUUAAUCUAAAGUGGGAAAAGGGAGACACACACACACACACACACACACACACACACACACACACACAAAGUCCCCCCCUUAUCCAAUUUCACUUUCUACAGUUUCAGUUACCUGCAGUCAACUGUGGUCCAAAAAUUUUAAAUGAGAAAUUCCAGAAAUAAAAAAGUCAUUAAGUUUUAAACUGUGUGUUGUUCUGAGAAGUGUGAUGAAAUCUUGCACCAUCCUGCUCCAAGUGGAAUGUGAACCAUCUCUUUGCCCAGCGUAUCCACGCUGUAUAAACUACUCUUCCAUUAGUCAUCAACAUUAUCUACUCUUGACAUCCAACAAUCAACAUCAUGGCUCAAUGAUCCAGGAUGAACCAAAGCAGAUGAUUCUCCUUCUGUUACAUCAUUAGGUCAGUAGUAGCCUAACACUAUGUCACAAUGCCUUCAUCAUUCACCUCAGUUCAUCUCACCAAGUAAGCAUUUUAUCAUCUCAUUAUCACCACAAAGAUGCAUGAUGAAAUGUAUGAAAUGAUAUAAUGUCUGGGAUUUGCUUGAAAAUAAUCACAGUUGUGGGAGGAAGUAAGAAUACAGACAAAACAACAAACAAGAUUGGGCAGGAGCUGACCGUUGUUUAAGAUGAUCACAGAUAUAAGACGUUCUGACAAAGAU